GCAAGUAUAGCUCAGUAGGUAGAGUAUGGUCUUUCCAAGUCCAAUGUCACGUGUUCAAAUCACGUUACUUGCU
rnacentral:tRNA from 1 species